GGACACACCCGGACUACUGGGGCGAACUCAGGGCCAACUGUCUGUACUGCCAAGCUAAGUUAAAUCGAUCUCAAAGCUGUCAUAGUAAGUCCAAAGCAAACGGGAGGCAAUUUAGGUCAAUACGGGACGUCACAGCAAUCCAAACACAGCGGGGAGAAUAGGGCAGGUAGAUCAGGAGAUUUCCCCACAGAGACAAGUGAGCAGCUCAUCAACAAGUCCAUAAAGCCCAGCUCCUUCUUAGAAAAACCUUCCUUCCUUUGGCUUAUAGGGGUUCAAGUUCAAUGUCUCAAAAUUCAGUGACCUGCCGUGUUUAGUAGCUAUGUAUUAAUUAGAUACGACCGUUAGAUUAGAUAUGAGCGUGUCCUCAGCAGUGCUUUUGAGAUGUUUGUAUGUGUUUGCUGAAGUGCUCCGAGGUUUUCAUCUUUGGCGGGAAAGAUGUAUCUACAAAGAUGUUUCACCACUGCCUUCACAGAUUGUAGUUUUACCACCAUCUAAAACAAGCUGCAAUUUCACUACCAACAAAGGUCCUUUCAUCACAACAUCCACUCUAAUACUCUAAUAUCAUAAUUGUACUCCUUCUCUUACAGCUUAUCUCACUUCCUUUAAUCGGCCACACUAACAGGUUCCACAUUUUGAAGAGAAUGCUAUCUAUAUAAGAUGGACAUCUAGCAACAAUUGUCCUAUCAUCAAGUGAAUAAAGGAGCUUACUGUGUUUAUCUUCAUAUGUGUUUUUAUGUUAUUGAACUCUCAUUCUUAUUCUUCUCUCACUUUGACAGAACCAUAGUACAUUGAAAGUUUAGGGUUUCGAUGAUCAUGAUCAUGUCCAAUGCAUGAAAAUGUGACCAAACAGCUAUAUGACCAACUGGACUUGUAUUCAAGCCUUCAUAAUUUAUGAUUUACACCUAAUGUUUUUCAAGGAACUCCCUUAGUCAAGAUUGUGGUCAUAAACUAUAUUACAUACAGGAUGUAACUAACAUGGUGUUUUGGGCCUGAGGGUUGUUUGCAGUGAUUCACAGUGUGUUCUGAGUGGUGUGUAGUGUUUCACAUGAUUGUAGUGGUGAUUGGCACACUUUAAAUGAGCACUGAGCACGAACCUUUUAUACCGCACGUGUGUAGCAUGAUCACUAAUUAAGCACAGGUGCCUAGCAUUAUGCCACUCUCUAGGUGUUUCCCAUCACAAUAUUUCUACUUAUACCCGUGUCCACAAGCUAAUGGCAGUAUUGCCUGACGCUGUGUCCAUUGUAUCAAGGUUGGUGAUCGCGAUAUUCUUUGGUGUGGGCUUUCUAUACUUUUCUCUAUGUUUCAUGUAAAGAGUAUUGCCUGACGCUGUGUCCAUUGUGUCCAUUGUAUCGUUGGACCAGAUGUGAGUCGCUUGAGGACUGCCGGCCAUUGACCCUGUCCAAGCUGGGUCGUGUGUGUGAAUGAGAAUCAGAGAACCAGAAGAGCGGCUGGCUUGGCCGUGUCCCGAGAGAACGAGACUGACGCGCACGGCGCUGAAACCAUACGGACCUACCUGGACACCCCAGACAGACAUUUGAACGUUGAGUGCUGGCAAUACUUUUAGGAAGCGCAUUUUAAUGUUUAAUAUUUAUUAUCAAUUCCCUGGAGUCGCUAAAUAAAUCUAUUUUACUAUUAA